UUUUCUUCCAUCCUUUUACACUUUCCAUUUUUCUUCCAUUUCUCCCUUUUCUUCCAUCAAUUUUUGUUGUCGCCGCCGCUACUGCUGCAAUCAACUGCCCACCGCCGUCGUGGUCUCCUUGUCGAUACGAUGCCAACCCUAAUAGGCAACGAGAGGCUAAUGAAGAAUUCCAGGAGUUAUAUCUAGAUAGUAGCUCAGCAUCCAAUCAGAAGAAACGAGAGCAUUCGCAGAACAUCGAGUUGGAAAGAUACGUCCAAAAACAUGGGAGAAUUACAAUUGUGAUAAAUGAAAGGGAG